AGAGUUUGAUCAUGGCUCAGGAUGAACGCUGGCGGCGUGCUUAACACAUGCAAGUCGAACGAACCUUCGGGUUAGUGGCGGACGGGUGAGUAACGCGUGAGAAUCUGCCCUCAGGAGGGGGAUAACGGUUGGAAACGACCGCUAAUACCCCAUAUGCCGCGAGGUGAAAUGAAUUUCGCCUGAGGAUGAGCUCGCGUCUGAUUAGCUAGUUGGUGGGGUAAAGGCCUACCAAGGCAUCGAUCAGUAGCUGGUCUGAGAGGAUGAUCAGCCACACUGGGACUGAGACACGGCCCAGACUCCUACGGGAGGCAGCAGUGGGGAAUUUUCCGCAAUGGGCGAAAGCCUGACGGAGCAACGCCGCGUGAGGGACGAAGGCCUCUGGGCUGUAAACCUCUUUUAUCAAGGAAGAAGAUCUGACGGUACUUGAUGAAUAAGCCACGGCUAAUUCCGUGCCAGCCGCCGCGGUAAUAC
rnacentral:rRNA from 1 species